rnacentral:lncRNA from 1 species
UUAUAUCAGACACUCAUCAGGUUGAGUUCGACGGAGGAGAUGGAGAUUCAGGUGCCCACCUCCAUCUUGUGUCAGAGGCUGAACCACUUAAAUAGGUUGAUGAGGUUGAAGGACAUGCUGGUGAAGGAAGAUGAAUUGUCAGCAGUGUUGACCAACUCCAGACUAACUUCUCUCCAAGAAAUCAUCAACAACUUCUCCCAGGUUGAUGAUGAGGGGCCCCUAAACAAGUGGAAUGAAUUAAAUCAGAGACUCGCUUGGUUGCACUCUAUGGAGGCCCAAGAUUCUGAUUUGCUAGCCAUGAGGUCCAACAGUGAGCUAGCUUCCUUGGAGGGUUAUAGAAUGAGGAAACAGCCGCGGCCCCCGUCGCGGAAUUUCGGAAUUGUGGGCAACUGCUGGAUCAAGCCACCAUUGCAGUUGAUGCAAACUGCAUGUGCUCCUCUCCCAGAGCAUCACAAACCUCUCUGAGUUUUGCUGCCUGCGGAUUCCCUAAUAUUUUUAUAAGUUGAACUACCCAAAUCUGAGUAGAAUUUCAUUCUUUAUCAUCUUAUGAAUAGGGGCAAGUUUAGUUUAAUGCUUUGAUGUUUAUUGCCUUUUGUGCCCUCCCUGAAUGUUGAGUGGCUGCAUCUUGUUUUCUCUCUAUCUAUUUAUUUUGACUACUAUUUUGCCUAUCAUUUUCCUUCUGUCUAUGUGUGCCCUUUCUUUCUUCUCAUUUCGUCUUCAUAUGAUAAUUAUGCACUUGUACAAUAGAAGAUAAAUAGGACCACUUAAUCAACUAGUUGAAUGAAAUUGCAUUGUCCUUGCACAAGUCAUCAGCAUUCCAAGAGCACACUACCGUACCUUCUAUAGUUGUAGUUCAUAUCUUAAACCAUGCAUUUUCACAAUCAUUUUCCUUACUGGUUGGUGUGCUAGAAAUUCUAAAUUGAUUCCACAUGUUUAAGAUUUACACAGACUUGGUACUUUGUUUAGAUGAUGAACAUAUUAUUUAGAUGACUUAUUCACUGGCCCGGACCGGACACCAACUAUCUUUCAGUAUUAAUCACCUCCUCCUAAAAGACAUGUUUAGCAAAACUCUCGAGAAGACAUUCAAAAUGAGAUAGUGAUCUUGCUGAGUCUUCAUUUUUAUAGGAAACAUUUCUUUACCGUUUGUAUGACAUGUGAUGUGAUUAAUAUUUUGUGGAUUGAUUGUGUUUCAUGAUCCCUGAAAUUAAACAUGUAGUUUUCAUAUGUGUCAAUCGAAGUUAUUGUUUACUUCAAGUAUUCUGGAUGAUUAUUAGUUAAGGUCCCUUCCAUAAGAGUAAUUGCUGAAAUCUAGGCUUUCAUGGUAGUACAAGAAAUCUUGGCCUAUUAAUCUCAAUGUUUUUCAAACUUUGUCAAGUAUAGUUGAGCUCCGCCGCCUCCAGAGGCAAUUCCCGGCGAAGUUUCUGGCAAACCUCCGUGAAAACCUAGAUGCUUGACCACAAGUGGGGAAUGGAGAAAGGUCUCGGCUUAUGCCCUGGUGCUAGUCGUGCUGAUCCAGAUUCUGGUGAUGCCCUCUCUUCCCGUCUCAUCUCAUGCAAUCCACAUCAACCCAAUUUUCCAGAUCCAGAUAAAGUCGUGUGGGAAUGGGUUCUAGGUGCUCCUAAGGUUGGUUUUUCUUUGUUAUUUGCAAGGUGUUGACUGGUUUUAAUUUGUGCUACCUCUUCAUAUUUAUUUACCUUUUGUUGCAUAUGCAUCUACUUCAGGGAACAUGGGUUUGUUUCAAUGGGAGUGUGUUCUGAUGGAUCUUAUGGUAUCCAACAUGGUCUCAUUUACUAUUUUCCAGUUACAUGUGAGAAAGGCGUAUGGAAUAUUGUACCAGGUACAUUUUUUACUUUGUAUUAUGUAGCUAAGAUUUGAAUUUCUCUCUAGAUUUUUAGCAAGUGCCAAAUGAUUUCUAAAGUUUAAUAUCAAUUGAUCGAAUUGAUGUAAAAACACUUUCAUCUCAAUUCUUGUGCAGGGGCCUCCAAUGAUGGAUGAUUCCAAGGAAGAGGAACCGAGGAGUGAAAAGGAAAGUGAAGUAAUAGCUGAAACAAAUGAGAAGUUAUCAUUAAUAUUGGAUUUGGGGGAAGGUGGUGGUGGUGAGUUUGGUUGAUGGUGGAUAUGAUGGUAGUUUGGCUGAAAGGGAUAGGUCUAUGUUCUUGUUUGCUGGGUUGUUCUUGGUUGGCUGAGUUUCCAUAUAAAGAUGAUGAAGAUUCUUAAUUGAGUUUUUUAAUUUUUUUAAAAAACCAUGAAUUGUUCUUGGUUGUUUACUUUGUAUGAUGAAGAUUCUUACUCAUAAACAAGUUUUUUGCUUUAUUUUGUGACCCAUGUAUAUGUAAUCUUUGUAUUGAUGACAUUAGGCACAGUGAUUUUUAACCCGAUCAAAUUUCAAAUAUCUAAUGAAGAUGAUGUAUGAAGAUGAAGGUACAUACGUGUUGUGCACUUCAUCUAUGGUUCCUCUUGCAUUUUUCCUCUAUAAAAAGGCUUCAUCUCCAUUUUUUUCUUGCUCAUCGGCCCCUUUGCCCCGCCCUCCCUCACUGCCGGAGACAUCCGUGGCACCAUCGUCCCUUUUGUUGGAUAUUAGAGUAAAAAUUGUUGUGCCGUGGCAAGCCACUGUCACUGUCCUGAAGCAAAAUUUCGGCGGAUUUCGGUGCAAAUCUCAAUUGCCGGUUUUGCUCCCAAGGUUAAAACAACUGCGAUCUGACUCGUGCAUUCGAGAUAAAAACGCGAUGGAGCCUUCAUAAAAUAUUACCCAAAAAAUUAAGAAAUAGAAUCAAGAAGAGCAAUCCAAGAAAUGAGAAAACACCUUUUUUCUUUCACGUUUCUUCACCCAUCUCCAGGUUCCCAUCAUAAGCAAAACAAAGGAGGAUAUAUAAUCAAAAGCAUUAACUCUCAUAGUUAAUACUCAUAAUACUAAUUAAAGGCCAUUAAUACCAUUGAUUCCUUUUGCUGUUACAUAUUCACACGUUGACUUGGUGCUAUAUCAUCAAUUUAGGAAGAUUGAUAGUGAAAAUCCAUGUAAGUAAAUGAGCAAAAAUCAAAGUUUAAUAAAUUUGAUUUUCAUUAUUUCACACAUUUCCCCGAUGUAAACCCCACCGACGCCGAAGACAACCAGAAGACUACCCCACAGCGGUGGUCUAGGUCCCGCAGAUCGGAGGAACUUACCACUCCCCUGGCCCCGCGGACGACAUAGAUUAUGGCAACUUUUUGUGUUUUAUGGCAUUUUUUUCCAAUUACGGAACUACCCCUGGAUUUUGAAAGGGAUUUUAAAAUCAUUAAAUAAAGAUUAUGGCAACUUUUCAAUUUGCAUUCACGAAAACAGUAUGCGUGAUUGAGGUCUAUGUUUUGCAAGCCUCCAAUCACAACCUACAAAAUAAGUCUCAUGCAUUCAUGAAAGCGAUGAAAGAAGCAUAAAUAAUAAGACUGUGUAUGUAAGGGCAAUUUAAUGUGUACUGAUGCAGUUAAACGUUAUGCUUAGCUGCAAAUUGUAAAGCUGGCGGAUUUUUCUAGAUAUUUUCUCAUGUUUUUCAAGAUUGAUAAUUGAUAACAUGUUUUUCUAAUAUCAUCUGAUGGAGCUGAUGUUUGAGAAAUUGAUACGAAAUAGCUGAAUUAUCAUUUGGUGAAUUGGGAGUUAUAUUUGUUCAAAUGUAUCUUUUUUGUAGAACUAUACAUUGAUUUUUUGCCAAUGCCUCCCUCUACCUCUUUUCAUUGAACUUCCUAAGGUACAUGUUAGAGGCAUAUAUUGCAGUUGAACUUAUUUAGUAUUACCUGUUUGUUGUUGGAGCUGAGUAUGUUUGUCUCAAAAUUUUGAAUUACCUAAGUGGCUAUUUCAGGUUGUUCUCCUCAAACCAGCAGAAGGUAAAGUAGCUUCUAGAGAUUUGGCUUACAAACAUUAUAGUUAAGAUUUUGCUUUCCUUUUGAUCAUAAUUAGUUGGUUUCUUGAGCCCUUAAAAUAUUUUACAACUAGUAAGUAUCUCGUGCAAUGCACAGGUAAUAAAUAUAUCAAAAAAUAUAAUAAAAUAUUUUAAUAAGUAUUAGUAUUUUUUGUUUAUAAAAUUAUAAUUCUAUAAUAAAAUGAUAAACUAUGUUUUGAAUAUACAUAAUUAAUAUUAAUUUUAUAUUAUAAUAAUAAUAUUCAUAUAAAAGAAAAAGUAUAAAAUAUUUAAUUAUUUUAAUAUGAAAGAGAUUUGUUAGUGUGAUAUGUGGCGACCCGACUUACCCCUUUCCCGUACACAGAGACAUUUGAUAAAUAAGACAUUUUCUUAAUUACAAAUUUGCAUAACUAAAAGAUUUUCAUCAAACACUUUAACAUUAAACAAGAUAAUUAUACAUAUGCAUCAUUAAGUUAUUUCACAUUACACAUAAAGGUAGAACCCUAGCAAAACAACACCUGUAAGGGAAGGGAGUGAACCGAACCUCACAUGCCAGUUACGACGAGCUGAUAAAAGGUUCAUGACCCUUAACUAUCUUACAAACUACUAACAGUCAGCUCUCCAUCUAAACGCCAUAUAUCUACAUCAACAAAAAUUGGCUGCUUCUGCUAGUAGCCCCUCAGCUCGACGCUUCGUACCCGCUUCUCAGCGUUCCUUCGCUAUCCUCUCAUAAUCCACUACUAAUGAGCAGAGAGAAAUAAGAAACAACAAACAACAGAGGGUGAGAAGUUUUCAACACAAUCAAGAAGAGAAUAGCAUGAUAUAAAUGAGUUUCUCACAGAAUCAACAACAACAAGUAUAUUAUGCAACAUGUUUUCCUAGAUUCAACAUUGACUCCUCUACAUGUUAUGUAUUUUGGGCCCAUGCGGGUCAUUCGACUUUUCCAUCGCGAGCCUAGUCACUCCGCAGGCCCCCUGAUGAUCAUCAUGUCGGUCAAGAAGUGGCGUAGUUGUUGUCGUGCACCGUUCCCGACGGCUUUCUGAGUUGGCGGGAAAAGUCGUAUGACCCGCAUGGGCCCACAUGCAUAUCAUGUAGAAGAGUCGAUAUGGAAUUUAGGGAAACAUGUUGCAUUGCAUAUUCCUUGGUGUUGAUUGUGUGUGAAGCUCAUUUAUAUCAUGUUAUUCUCCAGCAUGAUUGUGUUGAAUAGCUUCUCACCCCUCUCUUGUUUGUUGUCUCUUUAACCCCUUCGCUCAUUAGUGGUUGACUACGAGAAGGCGGAGAAGGAGCGCUGAGAAGCGUUGGGCAAUGCGAUGUUCGAGCGGAGAAACUACUGACAGAAGCAGCCAUUUUGUGGAUGCAGACGGAUGUCGCUUAGUUAGAAAGUUGACUGUUAGUAGGUUGCGAUGUUCGAACGAUCACGAUAUUUUUUAAAUAUUACUAAACUAUUAAUUAGAAUAUUAGCCACUAGUUCAUUUGAAGAUCAUCAACUUCAAUCGCAUUUUUCUCCCUCGUCUGAGCUCUGUUUGACAAACCACGACCAGCGUCGUACUCCUGGGAGAUAAGAUAACUAUAAUCCACCGCCAUUUCACCUCCGGCGAAGGCCGCCGCCGCGAGCACCGCCGCAGGAUAGUCUUUUCCGGCGAGCUCAUAUUCAAAUUUUCCAGAACUUCAAUUCUAAGGUUUAUGGGCUCCCCGAUACUGUUCUUAUACUUAUUUAGAUGACUUUCAACAUGAAAAACAUUGUUUUAAGGCCUUGAAGCAUGAAUUUCGAAGUAGAGAAGUGUACCGCACAAAAUUUGGCUAAGAGCAGGCCGACUUUGAUGAGAAGGCAGGCCGAUCUACAAUUACUCAAGGUCGGUCGAUCUACAAUCCAGCCCUGGAAACGCACUUCUUCAAUGAUGUCCAUCUGGUUAGCAGAAAAGUUAUUGAAAUCCACUCGCAACUCUCUAAGAACUAGAAGAUCACAAGCAGGGAUACUGCAAUGGAUGGAAGAAGGCCUCUUGAGAAUGUGUUCUGGAUUUAGCACAAAAUCAAUAGCCUCCUUUGCUUGAGGAGAGGCUGCAGAGAUGAGAGCCUGAGAGGCGGAGUCAACUUGAGAUCCCUCUUGUUGAGCCAUGUAGGCGUUGAAGAAUUUUACAAGUUCUUCUUGAUUAGUAUUCAUUUAGUGAAGGAUGAAGGAAGAGGAUGAUGAAUAGGAGUUUUGGUUGCAGAGAAUAAGUGAGAGAGAGUUUGGAGAGAGAAAGACAAAAACUCUUGAGAUUUUGAAUUUUGAAAUGUGUGGUAGUGGGAGAGAACGUGAGGAUUGAUAAGGUGUAAAAAUAACUUUUGAAGUUACCAAAAAAAUUAAUGACCGUUCAAUUAAUAGUGAAUAAUUAUGGGUAAUUAAUUUUUGGAGCAAUUCCAAGAAUUGUAAUGAUUAACAUCAAAUCACACGUGGGUGAUGGCUGCUCAAGUUACCUUGGGAAGGUAACUUGUCACUUUAAUGUCAGUUAGUGGGAUUUUCAUCAGUCAACUUCUGAUGAGAAACCUUUCACAUGACCAAGUCAUCUUCUGAUGAAGACAACUUCUGAUCAAAGUUAUUUCUGAUCAACAGUUACUGAUCAAAAUAAUUUCUGAUCAGUCAUACGAAUGGCGCCACAAUCAUAUAUUGAAGAGCUCAUACAAAUAGCAUCUGAAGCCUUUUAAAGUGCGUUUCCAACGCAUUUUUAAAGUGCGAGCGAAAAUUUUAAAAAGGGUACUUUUGAUUUUUUUUUUUAAUUUUGGUGUGGUGUCCGAAGAAAUGAGGGUGGUGUCUUUAACAAUUCCCUCACUUUAAUUACUAGGGAUACCACACUAAAAAUAAUAAAAAUAUUAAAAUGUCCUAACUUAAUAUUUACUUUCUUAUAUUACCCCUAUUACACCACACUUCCAUUUCAAAUAAGGCUUAAUUGCACUUUUGGUCCCUCACCUUUCGCACUUGUGCGAGAAUGGUCCUUAAAGUAAGAAAAUUACAAAAAUCAUCCCUGACGUUUACACAUGUUUGCACUUUUGGUUUUCCAUCCAAUUUUGUUAAUAAAUUAACGGAAUAUUCCAUAAAAUUAAUUUAAAAAAUUAAUUAUAAUUAUAAUUAAGAGGAACCCAGAAAAAUUCAUAUCUUCAUCCCAUUCACCAGAUCUUCUUCUCUCAAUCUCAUUCACCACACCACCCCAACCCUAGCUGCCACCACCCCCAACCCUAGCCGCCAUCACCACCAACCUCACCCUAGCCUCCACCACCACCAACAUGAACUAAACCCUAAUCUCUCUCUCAAAACAGUAGCUUCAAACAUAUCAUUUUGCUAUGCUAAAGAGGAAACAGAGACCUCAACAUGAUGUGGUAGUCAUCAAAUGCUUGUGGGAGCAACUCGUCCAUGAUCAAGGAUUGGCAGAACGCAUCAACGGCCUGAAGCUCGUUGACGUCUCUGACAUCUUUGAUGGAAACAGAGCUGACGCGGCCGAAUCGAUUGAGGGGGCCAGACAUUGUUGCGAAGGAGUUCAAUUGGGAUCCGUCAGAGUCAGAAACUCUAUGAAUUGAAGCGAUGGAUUCAAUUGGGGUUGAAAGUCAGAAACCCUAAGAAUUGCAGCGAUGGAUUCUAGUGGGGUUGCAGCGAUGGAUCAAUUGAAGAGGAUGUGUUUGAGCCUGAAGGGAGUGAGGCAGGUUGAUAAAGGGUGGAGCUUUUCCCAGUGAGAGUGAAUCAGGUGGAGCUGUUGCAUUUCCAGGUGUUGUGUUGCUCUAGAGGAAAGGAAGAAGAUGAAGGAGAAGAGCUGUUUUUAGGGAUGACGUUCAAGCAAAUAAAGUUGGAUCCUGAGCUGGUGAAACAAGCCAAAGCAAUGGUAAAGAGGGAAUAUCAUAAAGAUUUUGUAGUGGAUGAGGAUGGCAAGUGGGUUUUGCAGGGAUGGAAAGGGCGUAUUCUGAAUGCUUUUUCUGCUUGGGUUCCUGCUUAAGCAAUAUCCAAAAUGUGUUUAGUAUAACUUGUAGUCUUGUAAUGUAGUAGUAGGUGUGUUGAAAAAAAUGCAAUAAACUUCUCCUUUUCUAUUUUUCUUUCUUCAUUGGAGUUUAUAUUUCAAUUUUCAGGUAUUGAUGUUCACUUCACUUCCUAGCUGGCAUAGCAUGAGAAAACCCAUUUUUUUAAGCACAAGUUUACUAAUGACUAUCAAAAAUAACAAAAGUACAAUAAGAAAAUGAACACCAGUAUGGAAACCAGAAUUAGGAAACAACUGGGUUACAUGAUUACAUCAAGGGAACAAAAAAGCAGCAAUAUCUGGCUAAAACUAAUAGACAGUACUCUCUUGAAAGUAACAGAUUGUAUAAGCAUACCCUCAUUGAUGUGCCAUGCUUUGUUGUGUCUUCUGUGAGAAACAAGUCAGCACUUACUGUCUAAUUCUCACUUCUGCACUGUAAAUUGUAUUACCUCUGAUGACAACUGAUGUGAGUUGGAUUUUUGGUGUUUUUGUUUUCAUGAAGUGGAAGAAGAUGGUUGAUUGGGUGAUGGUGCCUUUUUCAUUUUUUCUGUUUUUUUUCUUCUGGGAAUUUUGUUUGAAGAUGGUGAAGAAUGGAUGAAGAUGGUUGAAGAUGAUGAAUAAUUGAUUAAAGUUCUGGGUUUUUAUUUUUAAUUUUUUUUAAAAUCUGAAAAAUGUUAAAAUUUGGAUGGAAGUGGAUGGAAAACCUGAAAUGCAAACGUCUGUAUAGGUGAGGGACAAAAAAAGUAAUUUUCUUACUUUAAGGAUCAUUCUCUCACAAGUGUGAAAGGUGAGGGUCCAAAAGUGCAAUUAAGCCUUCAAAUAAAUUAACUUUCCUCUCCCACCACACAUUCACCUUCUUCCCCCACUACUUCCAUCUUCUCCUUCAACUGCUACUCAUUGCAUUGUGCAUGCAACUAAUGCUCUAUUCUUCUUCUUCUUCCUAUCCAUGCUCCCUUCAUCGUCGCUGCUGCUGCUUGUGGUUCUAGUUCUGCCGCGAACAUCAAUUGUUCCAACGCCGGACAUGAACUGAUAAGAUGAAACUGUCGUAUAAUUUCCAUCAGGGGUCGCUUUCCAUUGAAUUCUGUCAGGACCAGCAUUCUCGGAUGGCACCUUAACAUGCAAAAUAGCAUUGCUAAUAUCUGGCGGCAGCGAGGUAUAAAGAACAUCAAGAUUCCAGCUUCUGUUGACACAUAUGUUAGCCACCCUUAAUUGAAUAUCUGAAAUGUGAUCAAAAGGAACUUUAUGACAUAGCUUCCCUGUACCCAACCAGUUUUGAUACCAAAUGGAGGAGUCUCCUAUGCCGAGAUGAGGACCAAAUCCUUGAGCCAAUUGAUCCUUCACUUUCAUUAUCCCACGCCAUAUAUAUGAAUCACCUUUGUUAAAGGUACCUUCGAGGACAGUGUCUCCGAACAAGUAUUUAUGUGAGAUAACUUGCAAUCAGAAUUUUUGAUCCCCACGAAGGAGAUCUUCUACCAAUUUUCCAAGCAAAGCCACAUUAUUCUUGUGAGUAAUUCUAAUGCCAAGACCCCCAUCCUCUUUAGGACAAGCAAUUUCAUUCCAAGGGACUAAAUUCCAACUUCGAGUACUAUUGUCCUUAGCCCAAAUGCACCGCCUAAUGCUUUUAUCAAUAUAAUCACAUAUGGAGUUAGGAAGCGAAAGGGCCUCCAUAGCAUAAAUCGGAAGAGAGGAGACAACCGAUUUAGCCAAGCACAGUUUAGCAGAUCUAUUUAACAACUUAUUCUUCCAAGAGGCCAAUCGAGUAUUUACUUUAUCAAUGAUAGGUGCAAAGUUUUCCCGUGUCACUCUACCCUUCAAGAUUGGCAACCCAAUGUACUUCCCCAAGUUACUAGCUCUAGUGAUCCCCAAGAUGCUAGAAAGCUCAUGCUGCAAUGUGUUGUCCAUAUUAGUAGAACAAAACAUUCUGGAUUUCUCAAGGUUAAUUUUCAUCCUAGAAGCAUCACAAAAAUCCUUAAGAGUAUAUGCAACAAGCUUAAUAUGCGCCUUGUUACCUUGGCAAAAGAGUAAGACAUCAUCCGCAAAGAAAAGAUGUGAAAUGCCAAUACCUUCAUUUGUAAUUCGUACCGGCUUCCAAGCACCCUCUCAUACCAGCUUCUGAAUCUGAAUGGCUAGAUGCUCCAUACAUAGAACGAAAAGAUAAGGGGACAAUGGGUCUCCUUGGCGAAGUAUUAUUUGUGGCUUGAACGGUGCUAGUUUAGUUCCAUUCCACGAGAUGGAUAUACUAGCCUCUUGAACGCCCCACUCAUCAUUAAGUACCCGAAUAGCGGAACAUUAAAAAUCUCACCCCAUCCCGUCAUCGUCGAUGGAGGACCCAAUUGUGGGUUAUUCGGAGUGCGGUCAUUGUCAAAGAUAAUCUCCCCAAGGUGAUUGGUGAGAGUGACUCGGUGGAGGCUAAUACUAUUCUUUCCUAGGAGUUGGUCAGGUUCAUCCAUCGGAGUAUCCCGACUCAUAUUGAGGUGGAGUUCCUGAGUACACCCAUGUAAAGCUAAUGUCGUGAUUGGUUGUUUAGCUAGGAGCGUGCAUGUGUAAAUUUUGGUAUUUAGAUUUGCACCUCCCUCUUACAAAAUGUCGUAGUCUUUUGUAUCAAGACACUAUUGAGGCUUUGUUCUCCCUCAGUGCUCUUGCAUUGUAGUGUUUUUUUGUUUUUCGGGGCCAAGCUCCUCCACUUCACAAAAAAAAGAAUGAAUAAUUAAAAAAGACAAAAAUCUAUCUAUUAUAUUAUAUAAAAGAAGGUUUUUUUUUUCUAGAACCUUCCGCCACGUGUCAUUCACAUGCUCUUCCAUUUUCCCUCCCAUUUUUUCAAAGUUUUAAAAGGAAACAUUUUAUUUAUUUUUGAUAUUAUUGAUUAUUGAUGAAUUUAUGCAGAAAUCAAUAUGAAUAUAUUAUGACACGAGUAUUUUAAUUUUUAAAUGUGUAAUAUAAACCUAAUUCAUAUCAUCACAUUAAAAGUUUCACUAAAUUUAUUUUCUUAUUAUUGUAAGUAAAUUUACUUUUGAUAGAGAAAUACUAGUUAUAUUAUAUAAAAGAAGUUUUUUUUUUUUUUUUCUAGAAGCUUCUGCCACACGUUAUUAUCUUGUUCUUCCAUCUUCCCUCCGAUUUUUCAAGGCUUUAAAUAGAAAUAGUUUAUUGAUUUUUUAUAUUAUUGAUUAAUUUAUGCAAAAAUCAAUAUGAAUAUAUUACGGAACGGGUAUUUUAAUUUUUAAAUGUGUAAUUAAACCUAACUCAUAUCAUCAUAUUAAAAGUUCCACUAAAUUUAUUUUCUUAUUAUUGUAAGUAAUUUUACUUUUAAUAGAAAACAUUAUUAAAAAUUAAAAAUUACAUAUUCAUAAUAUUUAAUUAAUAUAUGUAACUUAUGUGCUCCCGUACCAGGUACAGGUAUUUAUACUAGUAUAAGAUAAAAGAAUGUCUAAAUGCUUAUUAAAAAACAGAAUAUCUAAAUUGUUGUAGAAGUAAACUAGAUAUUGUCUAGAAAUAAAAAAAAACCUAAUAAAUAUAUAUGUUAUCUCGAGCUAAAUUUUCAAAUCCAAAAAAAAGAUAACAAUUAAAAAAAGAAAAGAAGAUAAGAUAAGAGAAUAUCUAAAUGCUUAUAAAAAAAAAAAAAAGAGAGAGUAGAUAUUGUCUAGAAAUAAAAAAUAACCUAAUAAAUAUAUGUUCUGUGGAGCUGAAUCCUCAAAUCUUGAUUCAGCAAAUUUUCACAAAAAAAAAAAAAAUCUUGAUUCAGCUAUGGCACUCCUCCUCUUUCGGCUGAGAAGAAGCCCUUUUCUGCUUCGCCGCUUCUGUUCGACCUUCAACUUCAACUCCAACUCCAGCAGCGUCGUCGAUGGCGGCCCCAAUUCCAACUGUACCCUUCCCCGACGAGUAGGUAUAAUGAAACCCUCAUCGGAAAAGUGGAAGCAGUUAUCUGUGAGUUUAUUGAGUUUCAGGGAUAGAUGCGCUAUUGAUGCUCGACUCUUAUCGGAGAAGAUCAAUUCCAGACAAGCUUUUAUAAAUGAGACAAUCAAGAAUCUCGAGAAUCUCUCCAACCCCAACUUGCCUCCGGAAAUCAUCUCUUGGAACUUAAACAGGUUGGAUAGGUUGGUAAAGUUGAAGGAUAUACUGGUGAUGGAAGAUGAGAUGUCAGCGGAGUUGGCCAAUUCCAGACUAACUCGUCUCCAAGAGGUAAUCAUGUCCUGUUCCGAUGAUGAUGAGGAGGAGCGGCUGCAAAACAAGUCUAUUGAAUUGUAUGAGCAUGAGCGGUGGAGUAAAUAUAUCGAACUCAAGAGGUUGAGGAGGAUGGAGUUAAGCUACAACUCCAACCCCACCUUGCUGUGUCAGACGUUGAAAGUCUUGUGUCUCAAGCUCAACACCUUCAAUAGGGUCAUGAGGUUGAAGGAGAUGGUGACCAACAACCACUCUGGACUUACUUCCUUCCUUGUUCAUGUCAUCUUCAACACCUUCUCCCAAGAGACCUCCCAGCCCCCUCCCCUUGACGAGGGCUGGCGCAACACAUGGAAUGAAUUACAUGACAAGUGGAAUGAAUUAUAUCAGACACUCAUCAGGUUGAGUUCGACGGAGGAGAUGGAGAUUCAGGUGCCCACCUCCAUCUUGUGUCAGAGGCUGAACCACUUAAAUAGGUUGAUGAGGUUGAAGGACAUGCUGGUGAAGGAAGAUGAAUUGUCAGCAGUGUUGACCAACUCCAGACUAACUUCUCUCCAAGAAAUCAUCAACAACUUCUCCCAGGUUGAUGAUGAGGGGCCCCUAAACAAGUGGAAUGAAUUAAAUCAGAGACUCGCUUGGUUGCACUCUAUGGAGGCCCAAGAUUCUGAUUUGCUAGCCAUGAGGUCCAACAGUGAGCUAGCUUCCUUGGAGGGUUAUAGAAUGAGGAAACAGCCGCGGCCCCCGUCGCGGAAUUUCGGAAUUGUGGGCAACUGCUGGAUCAAGCCACCAUUGCAGUUGAUGCAAACUGCAUGUGCUCCUCUCCCAGAGCAUCACAAACCUCUCUGAGUUUUGCUGCCUGCGGAUUCCCUAAUAUUUUUAUAAGUUGAACUACCCAAAUCUGAGUAGAAUUUCAUUCUUUAUCAUCUUAUGAAUAGGGGCAAGUUUAGUUUAAUGCUUUGAUGUUUAUUGCCUUUUGUGCCCUCCCUGAAUGUUGAGUGGCUGCAUCUUGUUUUCUCUCUAUCUAUUUAUUUUGACUACUAUUUUGCCUAUCAUUUUCCUUCUGUCUAUGUGUGCCCUUUCUUUCUUCUCAUUUCGUCUUCAUAUGAUAAUUAUGCACUUGUACAAUAGAAGAUAAAUAGGACCACUUAAUCAACUAGUUGAAUGAAAUUGCAUUGUCCUUGCACAAGUCAUCAGCAUUCCAAGAGCACACUACCGUACCUUCUAUAGUUGUAGUUCAUAUCUUAAACCAUGCAUUUUCACAAUCAUUUUCCUUACUGGUUGGUGUGCUAGAAAUUCUAAAUUGAUUCCACAUGUUUAAGAUUUACACAGACUUGGUACUUUGUUUAGAUGAUGAACAUAUUAUUUAGAUGACUUAUUCACUGGCCCGGACCGGACACCAACUAUCUUUCAGUAUUAAUCACCUCCUCCUAAAAGACAUGUUUAGCAAAACUCUCGAGAAGACAUUCAAAAUGAGAUAGUGAUCUUGCUGAGUCUUCAUUUUUAUAGGAAACAUUUCUUUACCGUUUGUAUGACAUGUGAUGUGAUUAAUAUUUUGUGGAUUGAUUGUGUUUCAUGAUCCCUGAAAUUAAACAUGUAGUUUUCAUAUGUGUCAAUCGAAGUUAUUGUUUACUUCAAGUAUUCUGGAUGAUUAUUAGUUAAGGUCCCUUCCAUAAGAGUAAUUGCUGAAAUCUAGGCUUUCAUGGUAGUACAAGAAAUCUUGGCCUAUUAAUCUCAAUGUUUUUCAAACUUUGUCAAGUAUAGUUGAGCUCCGCCGCCUCCAGAGGCAAUUCCCGGCGAAGUUUCUGGCAAACCUCCGUGAAAACCUAGAUGCUUGACCACAAGUGGGGAAUGGAGAAAGGUCUCGGCUUAUGCCCUGGUGCUAGUCGUGCUGAUCCAGAUUCUGGUGAUGCCCUCUCUUCCCGUCUCAUCUCAUGCAAUCCACAUCA